GACGAGCGCUGGCGGCGUGCUUAACACAUGCAAGUCGAACGGACAGGCCCUGCAUUUGUGGGGUGCUCGAGUGGCGAACGGGUGAGUAACACGUGAGUAACCUGCCCUUGACUUUGGGAUAACUUCAGGAAACUGGGGCGAAUACCGGAUAGGAGCUCCUGCUGCAUGGUGGUGGUUGGACAGUUUCGGUGGUUGUGCAUGGACUCGCGGCUUAGCAGCUUGUUGGUGGGGUAGUGGCUUACCAAGGCUUUGACGAUUAGCCGGCCUGAGAGGGUGACCGGCUACUUGGGAGGUUAGAUACGGCCUAUACUCCUUCGGGAGGCAGUAGUGCGGAAUAUUGCAGAAUGGGCAGUAGCCUGAUGCAGCAACGUCGCGUGCGUGAUGAGGGCCCUCGUGUUGUAAACCGCUUUCGCCUGUGACGAAGCGUGCGUGACGGUAAUGGGUAAAGCAGCGCCGACUAGCUAAGUA
rnacentral:rRNA from 1 species